rnacentral:rRNA from 1 species
GACGAACGCUGGCGGCGUGCUUAACACAUGCAAGUCGAACGGAAAGGCCCUGCUUUUUUGGGGUGCUCGAGUGGCGAAGGGGUGAGUAACACGUGAGUAACCUGCCCUUGACUUUGGGAUAGCUUCACGAAACUGGGGCUAAUCCCGGAUAGGAGCUCCUGCUGCAUGGUGGGGGUUGGAAAGUUUCGGCGGUUGGGGAUGGACUCGGGGGUUAUCAGCUUGUUGGUGGGGUAGUGGCUUACCAAGGCUUUGAAGGGUAGCCGGCCUGAGAGGGUGACCGGCCACAUUGGGACUGAGAGACGGCCCAGACUGGUACGGGAGGCAGCAGUGGGGAAUAGGGCACAAUGGGCGGAAGCCUGAUGCAGCGGCGCCGCGUGCGUGAUGACGGCCUGCGGGUAGUAAACCGCUUUCGCCUGUGACGAAGCGGGAGUGACGGUAAUGGGAGAAGAAGCACCGGCUAACUACGUG